AUUGAACGCUGGCGGCAGGCCUAACACAUGCAAGUCGAACGGUAACAGGAAGCAGCUUGCUGCUUCGCUGACGAGUGGCGGACGGGUGAGUAAUGUCUGGGAAACUGCCUGAUGGAGGGGGAUAACUACUGGAAACGGUAGCUAAUACCGCAUAACGUCGCAAGACCAAAGGGGGGGACCUUAGGGCCUCUUGCCAUCGGAUGUGCCCAGAUGGGAUUAGCUAGUAGGUGGGGUAACGGCUCACCUAGGCGACGAUCCCUAGCUGGUCUGAGAGGAUGACCAGCCACACUGGAACUGAGACACGGUCCAGACUCCUACGGGAGGCAGCAGUGGGGAAUAUUGCACAAUGGGCGCAAGCCUGAUGCAGCCAUGCCGCGUGUAUGAAGAAGGCCUUCGGGUUGUAAAGUACUUUCAGCGGGGAGGAAGGGAGUAAAGUUAAUACCUUUGCUCAUUGACGUUACCCGCAGAAGAAGCACCGGCUAACUCCGUG
rnacentral:rRNA from 1 species